AAGUUCAUCCUGGCUCAGAUUGAACGCUGCGUAGAUGCUUUACACAUGCAAGUCGAACGGCAGCACGGACUUCGGUCUGGUGGCGAGCGGCGAACGGGGUGAGUAAUGUAUCGGAACUGUGCCUAGUAGCGGGGGAUAACUACGCGAAGCGUAGCACACUGCAUACGCCCUUCGGGGAAAGCGGGGACCUUCGGGCCCCGCACCAUUAGAGCGGCCGAUAUCGGAUUGGCUAUUGGUGGGGGUAACGCUCACCAAGGCGAUGAUCCGUGUGGCUGUUUAGAGGACGACCAGCCACACCGGGACUGAGACACGGCCCAGACUCUACGGAGGCAGCAGUGUAGUCUCCUGGACACGGUAAAACCUUGAUCCAGCCAUCCCGCGUGCGAUGAAGGCCUUCGGGUUGUAAAGCACCUUUGGCAGGAAAGAAACGGCACGGGAUAAUACCCCGUGCAACUGACGGUACUGCAGAAUAAGCACCGGCUAACCAGCCGUGCCAGCAGCCGCGGUAAUACGUAGGGUGCAAGCGUUAAUCGGAAUUAUCGGCAAAGCGUGCGCAGGCGGUUCGAAAGAAAGAUGUGAAAUCCCAGAGCUAACUUUGGAACUGCAUUUUUAACCAUCGAAUAGAGUGCAAACAGAGAAAGGUGAAUUCGCGGUAAAGAAGAAUGCGCAGAUAUGCGGAGAACACUGGCCAUAAAGGCAGCCUCUGGGAUAAUAAUUGACGCUCAUGCACGAAAGCGUGGGGAGCAAACAGAUUAGAUACCUCUGGUAGUCCACGUUCUAAAUGAUGCUCAACGGUUGCUAGCCUCGGCUCUUAUGGUAGCGCAGCUAACGCGUGUGAAGUUGACCGCCUGGGAGUACGGUCGCAUUUGAAAACUGAAAGCAACUGGAUGACCGCACAAGCGGUGGAUACGACACUCCGAUGCAACGCGAAAAACGCCACCCAAUUCCUGAUAUGCUGGAAUCCCGAAGAGAUUUGGGAGUGCCCGCAAGAGAACCGGAACACAGGUGCUGCAUGGCUGUCGUCAGCUCGUGUCGUGAUGCUGGGUUAAAGUCCGCAACGAGCGCAACCUCCUUGUCAUUAGUUGCUACGAAAGUGCGGCACUCCUGAUGACUGCCGGCGACAAACCGGAGGAAGGCAGAGACGUCAAAGCCGUUAACGCGGUGCUUCAAUAAUGUCAUACAAUGGUCGGACAGAAUGCCAAAUCCGCCAGGGGGAGCUUAACCCAGAACUGAUCGUAGCUCGGACGAAGCUCCGUAACUCGACUGCGGAAGUCGGAAUCGCUAGUAAUCGCGAUCAGCACGGUCGCGGUGCGAAUACGUUCCCGGGUCUUGUACACACCGCCCGUCACACCAUGGGAGCGUCACCAGAAGUAGUUAGCCUAACCGUGCGGCGCGAUUAACACGGUAGGAUUCAUGAUUGGUGAAGUCGUAACAAACGGACCCUGCACGCCUGAUGC
rnacentral:rRNA from 1 species